GAUGAACGCUGGCGGCGUGCUUAACACAUGCAAGUCGAACGGACUUUAAAUGAAGCCUAGCGAUUUUAAAGUUAGUGGCGGACGGGUGAGUAACGCGUGGGUAACCUGCCGUAUACAGGGGGAUAACACUUAGAAAUAGGUGCUAAUACCGCAUAAGCGCACAGCUUUGCAUGAAGCAGUGUGAAAAACUCCGGUGGUAUACGAUGGACCCGCGUCUGAUUAGCUAGUUGGUGAGGUAACGGCCCACCAAGGCGACGAUCAGUAGCCGGCCUGAGAGGGUGAACGGCCACAUUGGGACUGAGACACGGCCCAAACUCCUACGGGAGGCAGCAGUGGGGAAUAUUGCACAAUGGGGGAAACCCUGAUGCAGCGACGCCGCGUGAGUGAAGAAGUAUUUCGGUAUGUAAAGCUCUAUCAGCAGGGAAGAAAAUGACGGUACCUGACUAAGAAGCUCCGGCUAAAUACGUGCCAGCCGCCGCAUAAGAC
rnacentral:rRNA from 1 species